AUAAAUAAGCAGAGGAAAAGAAACUAAAAAGGAUUUUCUUAGUAACGGCGAGCGAACAGAAAAAAGUCCAGCGCCAAGUUUUGACACAUUAGUGUGAUCAAAAGAUGCGGCGUUUAUCCUUUGGCGCUUCAUACAUUGUUUUUGAUUUCAAGUUUCCUUGACAGGAACAUCCAAAGCGGGUGCUAGGCCCAUAGAGAUUAAAAACCGAUGUAUGCCGGCCAUUGGAUUAUAGAGUCAGGUUGCUUGAGAGUGCAGUCUAAAGUAGGUGGUAAACUCCAUCUAAGACUAAAUAUGACAGCGAGACCGAUAGCAAACAAGUACCGUGAGGGAAAGUUGCAAAGCACUUUGAAGAGAGAGUCCAAUAGUACGUGAAACCACUGGAAGGCAAACAGAUGGAGCUACGAAUUUUGCGCUUCAGUCGAUUCAAUCAUCGUUUACGAUUGACUGUGUUUAUUUUAGGAUCUUUUCGGAGAUUUGAUAAAUAUUGUCGAAAAUCGUUGACAAUGAUGCAUUUCGUGCUGAAGAUGCUAAGCCACGUUUGACUAGAUUGUUGGAACAACUGUAAGAUAGGAUUGCAGGAAGGUUACCGUCAGUUGCUUGCAAUUGAAGGUGUUUAUAGACUGCAAUCGGUAUUGUUGCCUAAAAUGCUGGUCAAUAAAAAUUCUCCAUUUGGAGUAAUGUUAAGGUUAUGUUUACCUGUGAUUUAAAAUUAGCAUUUCGAAUUAAAUUUGUCAUGCCUUAGGUGUGUUCAAAAGGUUCAACAAUGUUGAUUUUAGGUUACUUGUAUUGCAUAAUCAAAACGGUGGCGUGAUUUGGUCAGUUUUCCAUCUGACCCGUCUUGAAACACGGACCAAGGAGUCUAUCACAUAUGCAAGUCGCUCAGUCUUGUUUAGGCUCGAGAGGCACAAUGAAAGUAAUUUACUAUGAUGUCGUGUGUAAUAGCGCGAUUGCAAUAGUGGCUCGCCUACUUUGUUUAUUUGGCAAUAUGGCGAAGCUGGAGCAUAUGCGAUGGUACCCGAAAGAUGGUGAACUAUGCUUGGAUAAGAUGAAGCCAGAGGAAACUCUGGUGGAAGUCUGUAGCGAUUCUGACGUGCAAAUCGAUCGUCAAAUCUGAGUAUAGGUGCGAAAGACUAAUCGAACCAUCUAGUAGCUGGUUUCCUCCGAAGUUUCCCUCAGGAUAGCAGGCAUUCGUUUAAGAUCAGUCUCAUCCGGUAAAGCUAAUGAUUAGAGGUCUUGGGAAUGAAAUGUUCUCAACCUAUUCUCAAACUUUAAAUGGUUGAGAUGGUUGACUUGCUUGAUUUGAAGCCAACCAUUUGGAUGUGAGUGCCUUGUGGGCCAUUUUUGGUAAGCAGAACUGGCGAUGUGGGAUGAACCAAACGUUGAGAUAAGGCAUCUAAUGCAUACGCUCAUUAGACCCCAGAAAAUGUGUUGGUUGCUAUAGACAGCAGGACGGUGGCCAUGGAAGUCGGAAUCCGCUAAGGAGUGUGUAACAACUCACCUGCCGAAGCAACUAGCCAUGAAAAUGGACGAUGCUGUAGCGUGGAGCCGAUGCUCAACCGUAACAAUGUGACCAAAGAAAAAGAGAUAUUGUUACGAGUAGGAGGGUACGCAAUGAUAGCGUUGAAGGUGUCAAACGUAGGUUUGCCUGGAGCUGUCAUUGUUGCAGAUCUUGGUGGUAGUAGCAAAUACUCAAGUGAGAAUCUUGAGGRCUAAAGUGGAGAAGGGUUUCAUGUGAACAGCAGUUGAACAUGAUUCAGUCGAUCCUAAGGAGGCAGAGAAAUCUGUUGAAACGGUUGAAUAAAAAUUUAUGUUUUUUUGAAAUGAAAUCAACCGAUUCUCCGAAAGGGAAUCAGGUUAAUAUUCCUGAACUAAGACACGGAGGAUGUGCUUUUAGGGUACAAAUGCGGUAACGCUAUCAAAUUCGGAGACAUCGGCAAUAGCUCCAGGAAGAGUUGUCUUUUCUCUAUAAGGCGUUGAAUCCAUGAAAACAGCUUGUCUGGAGAUAUGGAUGUUGACACCGAAGAGCUAAGCAGUUCUGGCUUAGUCUGGUGCGCUGUUGUCGAUCCUUGAAAAUCCGAAGGCGAGGUUUACCUCCGUGCUUAUUCGUACCAAUAUCCGCAGCAGGUCUCCAAGGUUAGCAGCCUCUAGUCGAUAGAAUAAUGUAGGUAAGGGAAGUCGGCAAAACGGAUCCGUAACUUCGGGACAAGGAUUGGCUCUGAAGAAUGGGUCGUUCGGGCUAUGAUCAGAAACAUUUAAAUCGCCUGACUGAAACUGGACACUGGCAACGGUGGCUGGAUUUGUGUUGGUGAAUGAAUGUGGAAGUUUAUGGCUACACCUUGAUACCCUGUGUAUUGAGUGUUGUUUCGGGCGGCAUUAAACAUUCGACUCAGAACUGGCACGGACCACGGGAAUCCGACUGUCUAAUUAAAACAAAGCAUUGCGAUGGCCGGAGAUCGGUGUUGACGCAAUGUGAUUUCUGCCCAGUGGUAUGAAUGUUAAU
rnacentral:rRNA from 1 species